rnacentral:rRNA from 1 species
UACGUAGGGUGCGAGCGUUGUCCGGAAUUAUUGGGCGUAAAGGGCUCGUAGGCGGUCCAUCGCGUCGGGAGUGAAAAGCUGGGGCUUAACCCCAGUCCUGCUUUCGAUACGGGUGGACUAGAGGUAGGCAGGGGAGAAUGGAAUUCCUGGUGUAGCGGUGAAAUGCGCAGAUAUCAGGAGGAACACCCGUGGCUAAGGCGGUUCUCUAGUACGGUACUGACGCUGAGACGCGAAAGCGUGGGGAGCGAACAGG